CCUACGGGUGGCAGCAGUGAGGAAUAUUGGUCAAUGGGCGUAAGCCUGAACCAGCCAAGUCGCGUGAGGGAUGAAGGUUCUAUGGAUCGUAAACCUCUUUUAUAAGGGAAUAAAGUGUGGGACGUGUCCUAUUUUGUUUGUACCUUAUGAAUCAGGAUCGGCUAACUCCGUGCCAGCAGCCGCGGUAAUACGGAGGAUCCGAGCGUUAUCCGGAUUUAUUGGGUUUAACGGGUGCGUAGGCGGGCUUGUAAGUCAGCUGUGAAAGUCUGUGGCUCAACCGUAGAAUUGACGUUGAUACUGGGAGGCUUGAGUAUAGUUGAGGCAGGCGGAAUGCGUGGUGUAGCGGUGAAAUGCUUAGAUAUCACGAAGAACCCCGAUUGCGAAGGCAGCCUACUAAGCCAUGACUGACGCUGAUGCACGAAAGCGUGGGGAUCAAACAGGAUUAGAUACCCUAGUAGUC
rnacentral:rRNA from 1 species